rnacentral:rRNA from 1 species
AGAGUUUGAUCCUGGCUCAGAACGAACGCUGGCGGCGUGGCUAAGGCAUGCAAGUCGAACGGACUCCCGGAUGGGUAACUUGAAGGGAAGUUAGUGGCGAACGGGUGAGGAAUACUUGGAUAACGUACCCUGGACACGGGGAUAGCGGUGCGAAAGCGCCGGUAAUACCCGAUGACCCCGCGAGGUCGCAUGGCCUUGCGGGCAAAGCUCCGACGGUCUGGGAUCGGUUCAAGUCCUAUCAGCUUGUUGGUGAGGUAACGGCUCACCAAGGCAACAACGGGUACCGGGCGUGAGAGCGUGACCCGGCACAUCGGAACUGAGACACUGUCCGGACACCUACGGGUGGCUGCAGCAACGAAUAUUCCGCAAUGGACGAAAGUCUGACGGAGCGACGCCGCGUGCAGGAAGAAGUCCCUCGGGAUGUAAACUGCUGUCAGAGGCUAGAAAUGUCGAUCAGCCUCAGAGGAAGCACCGGCUAACUCCGUGCCAGCAGCCGCGGUAAUACGGAGGGUGCAAGCGUUGUUCGGAAUCACUGGGCUUAAAGCGCGCGCAGGCGGAGUAUCAGGUGUCUUGUGAAAUCCCUCGGCUCAACCGGGGAAUGGCUUGGCAAACCGGUACUCUUGAGGCAGGUAGAGGCAGGUGGAACGACUGGUGGAGCGGUGAAAUGCGUAGAUAUCAGUUGGAACGCCGGAGGCGAAAGCGGCCUGCUGGACCUGUCCUGACGCUGAGGCGCGAAAGCGUGGGUAGCAAACAGGAUUAGAUACCCUGGUAGUUCACGCCGUAAACGAUGCGCACUAGGUAUGGGGGAUUCUGACAUCAACCGUGCCGAAGCAAAAGUGGUAAGUGCGCCGCCUGGGGAGUACGGCCGCAAGGCUAAAACUCAAAGGAAUUGACGGGGGCUCACACAAGCGGUGGCGCAUGUGGAUUAAUUCGAAACUACGCGAAGAACCCUACCUGGGUUUGACAUGUACGGAUGCCCUCUUGGAAACAGGAGUAAGCUGCCUUCGGGUGAAACGUACACAGGUGCUGCAUGGCUGUCGUCAGCUCGUGCUGUGAAGUGUCGGGUUAAGUCCCUUAACGAGCGAAACCCCUAUCGCUAGUUGCCAGCGGUUCGGCCGGGAACUCUAGCGAGACUGCCGAUGUCAAAUCGGAGGAAGGUGGGGACGACGUCAAGUCAUCAUGGCCUUUAUGCCCAGGGUGUCACACGUGCUACAAUGGUCGGUACAGAGCGAAGCGAUACCGCGAGGUGGAGCAAAUCGCAGAAAGCCGGCCUCAGUUCGGAUUGGAGUCUGCAACCCGACUCCAUGAAGUUGGAAUCGCUAGUAAUCGCGGAUCAGCCAUGCCGCGGUGAAUGUGUUC